CAAAGUUCAAAGUUCGUCGAGUUCUUCACGGUAACUUUUCAACACUUUCAAGAGGUUUUACUCAAAUAUCGGCAACUGUCUGGUCCAAAUAUGCGUCAUGGUACUCAUAGGUGUAUAGAGGAAGAUAUCACCCCACACUACGACACGAGAUGUCGAUGGCUAAACAUUUACUAAGAACUCACUGGGAGAGAGGAGACAAUUAGACUGAAGUCCUCAUCGAAAUCAAUGGCUAGCCUUAGCAAGUAAACGACAUGCUGCAAGCCAUGGAAGGAGAAGACAUGCACCAGGAUAUGUCUUUGCUGCUGCCUUCUGCACUCCGUGGAAGACUCUACAACAUGAAGCUUAAGUUGCAGGACAACUGGCUUCCUGGGCAAUGUUGUAGAAGUCUUCCUUGUGACGUCAAUCCAACAGCUACAUGUACAUGCUGCAAUAAGGAAACAACAAAGAUAACAGAAGAAUGUAAGGAACAAGAGGAUGGAUGUUGCCAUCUUCAAGAAGUUGCCAACACCACAGGCUGUGUGGUUGUCAUGGUAACAGAAGAGGGCACUGAUGUCAUCGUUCCAGCAGGGACAAUGACUGGUCAGCAGAUAUUUGUAGCCAGGUGGGAGGGACAGUACGUACCAUUGCAAGAGGAAGUAUCCAGACACAAUCCUCCUGGAAAGACUUUGCGCGAAAACAAAACAGGAUGGACCAAAGUAAAAGCACCAAAGAUGUGUAAAAGG